AAGUCGUAACAAGGUCUCCGUAGGUGAACCUGCGGAGGGAUCAUUAAUAGUAGCCAGCCCGAUUAGCAAACGGCGAAAGCCCGACGCUUAAUGGGGCUAGUAUAACAUAUGUGUUUAGGGGGGUAAUCAUCUCCCUAAUAUUUCAUACUUCACAAAGCCCUAAUAGGCUUGCUAACAAUCAAUCAAUAACUGAGGAACAAAACACAACACACCCCAUUGGAUACCUUGGUUCCCAC
rnacentral:misc_RNA from 1 species